CCUACGGGAGACAGCAGUGGGGAAUAUUGCACAAUGGGGGAAACCCUGAUGCAGCGACGCCGCGUGAGUGAAGAAGGAAUUCGUUAUGUAAAGCUCUAUCAGCAGGGAAGAAAAUGACGGUACCUGAGUAAGAAGCCCCGUCUAACUAGGGGCCAGCAGCCGCGGUAAUAUGUAGGGGGCAGGCGUUAUCCGGAUUUAUUGGGUUUAAGGGGUGCGUAGGCGGAAUGCAAGGUCAGCGGUAAAACCGCGGGGCUCAACCUGGCACCGCCGUUGAAACUGGCGUUCUUGAGUGGGCGAGAGGUAUGCGGAAUGCGUGGUGUAGCGGUGAAAUGCAUAGAUAUCACGCAGAACUCCGAUUGCGAAGGCAGCAUACCGGCGCCCAACUGACGCUGAGGCACGAAAGCGUGGGUAUCGAACAGGAUUAGAUACCCCGGUAGUC
rnacentral:rRNA from 1 species